GACGAACGCUGGCGGCGUGCUUAACACAUGCAAGUCGAACGGAAAGGCCCUGCUUUUGUGGGGUGCUCGAGUGGCGAACGGGUGAGUAACACGUGAGUAACCUGCCCUUGACUUUGGGAUAACCUCAGGAAACUGGGGCUAAUACCGGAUAGGAGCUCCUGAUGCAUGGGGGGGGUUGGAAAGUUUCGGCGGUUGGGGAUGGACUCGCGGCUUAUCAGCUUGUUGGUGGGGUAGUGGCUUACCAAGGCUUUGACGGGUAGCCGGCCUGAGAGGGUGACCGGCCACAUUGGGACUGAGAUACGGCCCAGACUCCUACGGGAGGCAGCAGUGGGGAAUAUUGCACAAUGGGCGGAAGCCUGAUGCAGCAACGCCGCGUGCGGGAUGACGGCCUUCGGGUUGUAAACCGCUUUCGCCUGUGACGAAGCGUGAGUGACGGUAAUGGGUAAAGAAGCACCGGCUAACUACGUGCCAGCAGCAGCCGCCGUAA
rnacentral:rRNA from 1 species